AUGUGCUUUCAUCUGAUUGGCCAAUGCUGUAGGCUGUGCUGUUUGAAUCAUGCUGCGAAUAGCGAAAGGCGUGUCAUGGCGGCUGCGUGUUUAGCUGUCAGCAAGUGAUUCAAUUCGGCUGAAGACUCGUGCUCCUGUUGUACCGGGGCAGCCGCCGGUGUGCGAGAGACAGUGGAGGAGAUGGACUUUCAGAGAGGUAUCUGGUCGGCGGCUCUUGAUGGAGACCUCAACAAAGUUAGAUACUUUAUUCAUAAAGGGAGGGAUCCGAGCCUGCCUGACAACUUCAGCUACACAGCGCUGCUCGGUGGCAUGUCUUCCUAGCUCGUGUGCCUGCAAUGCUGCGUCCUGGGGGAGAAAUAAUCGGUCGGUGUCCUUCCAGCUUGAAUGUAUUUGCAGCACGACAAAGUGAAGACCCCUCUGGCCAGCAAGGGAGAGACGGAAAAUGCUUGGGCACUUUAUCUUUAAAAAAUAUAAUGGCACGGAGGAAAGGCAUUGGGGGAAAUCUGCAACAGGUGCCAGUAUAAGGACAUAAUAAUGCUCUCCGCUAUAUCAACAGGUCGCUGCAGGGGGAGAGAGUGGGUGCCAUAUUUGCUUGCAAGUUACGUCGGGAUUAGAGAGGUUUUCCUCCUUCAUCACUUCCUCUCCAGCAUUCUGUGGCCAAAUAUCUGUUGGAUUUUCUUUUCUGCUUUCUGCAAACAAAAUAGAAUAAAAGUCAAUAUUUUAACUGUU